UUUCAGACUUCGGUCUGGGACAAAGUGGCGCACGGGUGAGUAACACGUAGCUGACCUACCCUUCGCAGGGGGAUAACUCGCCGAAAGGCGAGCUAAUACCGCGUACGCUCCGAGGCGUUAGAGAACUUGGAGGAAAGCGUUAUGAAGCGGCGAAGGCGGGGGCUGCGGACCAUCAGCUAGUUGGGGCGGUAACGGCGCACCAAGGCAACGACGGUUCGGGGACCUGAGAGGGUGACCCCCCACACUGGCACUGAGAGACGGGCCAGACUCCUACGGGAGGCAGCAGUAAGGAAUAUUGCACAAUGGGCGCAAGCCUGAUGCAGCAACGCCGCGUGCCGGAUGAAGGUCUUCGGAUCGUAAACGGCUUUUGUGAGGGACGAGCAAGGACGGUACCUCACGAAUAAGUCUCGGCUAACUACGUGCCAGCAGCCGCGGUAACACGUAGGAGACGAGCGUUAUCCGGAUUUACUGGGCGUAAAGCGCGGGUCGGUGGGGUCUUAAGUCAUGCGUGAAAGCACCCAGCUUAACUGGGUGAGGUCGUGUGAAACUGGGGCUCUGGAGGUAGGUAGAGGCAGAUGGAAUUCCGGGUGGAGUGGUGAAAUGCGUAGAGAUCCGGAGGAACACCAGUGGCGAAGGCGAUCUGCUAGACCUAACCUGACACUCAGCCGCGACAGCAUGGGGAGCGAACGGGAUUAGAAACCCCGGUAGUCCAUGCCGUAAACGAUGCAUACUAGACGUUGGGGAGGCAUAGCCUCUUCAGUGUCGAAGCCAACGCGAUAAGUAUGCCGCCUGGGGAGUACGAGCGCAAGCUUAAAACUCAAAGGAAUUGACGGGGGCCCGCACAAGCGGCGGAACGUGUGGUUUUAAUUCGAGGCUACACGAAAACCUUACCUGGGUUGAC
rnacentral:rRNA from 1 species